rnacentral:rRNA from 1 species
GACGAACGCUGGCGGCGUGCUUAACACAUGCAAGUCGAACGGUAAGGCCCUUCGGGGUACACGAGUGGCGAACGGGUGAGUAACACGUGGGUGAUCUGCCCUGCACUUCGGGAUAAGCCUGGGAAACUGGGUCUAAUACCGGAUAGGACCACUGCCUGCAUGGGUGGUGGUGGAAAGCUUUUGCGGUGUGGGAUGGGCCCGCGGCCUAUCAGCUUGUUGGUGGGGUGAUGGCCUACCAAGGCGACGACGGGUAGCCGGCCUGAGAGGGUGACCGGCCACACUGGGACUGAGAUACGGCCCAGACUCCUACGGGAGGCAGCAGUGGGGAAUAUUGCACAAUGGGCGCAAGCCUGAUGCAGCGACGCCGCGUGCAGGAUGACGCUUCUCGGAGUGUAAACUGCUUUUAUAUGGGAAGAUUAUGACGGUACCAUAUGAAUAAGGACCGGCUAACUACGUGCCAGCAGCCGCCGUAA